UACGGUGCUGAAGCAACAAAUGCCCUGCUUCCAGGAAAAGCCUCUAAGCAUCAGGUAACAUCAAAUCGUACCCCAAACCGACACAGGUGGUCAGGUAGAGAAUACCAAGGCGCUUGAGAGAACUCGGGUGAAGGAACUAGGCAAAAUGGUGCCGUAACUUCGGGAGAAGGCACGCUGACACGUAGGUGAAGUGAUUUACUCAUGGAGCUGAAGUCAGUCGAAGAUACCAGCUGGCUGCAACUGUUUAUUAAAAACACAGCACUGUGCAAACACGAAAGUGGACGUAUACGGUGUGACGCCUGCCCGGUGCCGGAAGGUUAAUUGAUGGGGUCAGCGCAAGCGAAGCUCCUGAUCGAAGCCCCGGUAAACGGCGGCCGUAACUAUAACGGUCCUAAGGUAGCGAAAUUCCUUGUCGGGUAAGUUCCGACCUGCACGAAUGGCGUAAUGAUGGCCAGGCUGUCUCCACCCGAGACUCAGUGAAAUUGAACUCGCUGUGAAGAUGCAGUGUACCCGCGGCAAGACGGAAAGACCCCGUGAACCUUUACUAUAGCUUGACACUGAACAUUGAGCCUUGAUGUGUAGGAUAGGUGGGAGGCUUUGAAGUGUGGACGCCAGUCUGCAUGGAGCCGACCUUGAAAUACCACCCUUUAAUGUUUGAUGUUCUAACGUGGACCCGUUACCCGGGUUGCGGACAGUGUCUGGUGGGUAGUUUGACUGGGGCGGUCUCCUCCUAAAGAGUAACGGAGGAGCACGAAGGUUGGCUAAUCCUGGUCGGACAUCAGGAGGUUAGUGCAAUGGCAUAAGCCAGCUUGACUGCGAGCGUGACGGCGCGAGCAGGUGCGAAAGCAGGUCAUAGUGAUCCGGUGGUUCUGAAUGGAAGGGCCAUCGCUCAACGGAUAAAAGGUACUCCGGGGAUAACAGGCUGAUACCGCCCAAGAGUUCAUAUCGACGGCGGUGUUUGGCACCUCGAUGUCGGCUCAUCACAUCCUGGGGCUGAAGUAGGUCCCAAGGGUAUGGCUGUUCGCCAUUUAAAGUGGUACGCGAGCUGGGUUUAGAACGUCGUGAGACAGUUCGGUCCCUAUCUGCCGUGGGCGCUGGAGAACUGAGGGGGGCUGCUCCUAGUACGAGAGGACCGGAGUGGACGCAUCACUGGUGUUCGGGUUGUCAUGCCAAUGGCACUGCCCGGUAGCUAAAUGCGGAAGAGAUAAGUGCUGAAAGCAUCUAAGCACGAAACUUGCCCCGAGAUGAGUUCUCCCUGAGACUUUAGGUCUCCUGAAGGAACGUUGAAGACGACGACGUUGAUAGGCCGGGUGUGUAAGCGCAGCGAUGCGUUGAGCUAACCGGUACUAAUGAACCGUGAGGCUUAACCUUACAACGCCGAA
rnacentral:rRNA from 1 species